rnacentral:pre_miRNA from 1 species
CUUGUACUCCCUCCGUCCGAAAAUACUUGUCAUUGAAAUGGAUGUAUAUAGAUGUAUUUUAGUUCUAGACACAUCCAUUUUGAUGACAAGUAAUUCUGGACGGAGGGAGUACUUG